rnacentral:rRNA from 1 species
UGGCUAAUAAUAGCCUACUUUAAACUAUCUCUUUGCAAGCAUAACUUUUCACUAAUUCUUCUAUAAAGAAACGUCUCUGUUGCUUAGUACCGGCGAAUGAACCCAUUUUUUUAGCCAAAGAGUAUAAGUACCGAAAGGGAAAAUUAUUAAUAACAAAAAAGUAGUGAUGUUAACUCAUACCUUUUGUAUCAUGGUUCUUCUAGACUAACACUUAUUAUUUUUAGUAAGCCCGAAAGAAGUUGAGCUACUAUUAAACAACUAAAUCAUCAACGUAGUAAAGUUGUGACCAGAUUUAAUAGUAGGGAUGAAACGUUUUCCGAAACUUCAGGUUGCUGGUUAACUAGUAAAUGUAUCAAAGUACACCGUCAAAUCUAUAUCUUAUUCCUACUUUCCCCCAGGUUAGGAAAUAAUUUGAUAGACACACGUAAAAGGACAAGCUUUUACGUGAUCAAAAAAGCAAAAUUUAUUUAUUUCUGCUAAGUAGGCUUAAAAUUUGCCAUCUAUAAAAGUUUACUAUAAAUUAACAACUUUAAUAAAUUAAAACACUUACUAUUGCUUUUAAGGUUAAAUUACACCUAAACUUAACUAGUUUUAUUAGUUUAACCAUUAAACUAAUGUAUUUCUGGAGAAAUGAGUAUUCAAAUUAAAUUUUAAUAAGAUGAUGUAUUAAAUUAAAGAAUUCAACUUCCAUCAAAUAAAUUAAAUAUUUACAAUUAAACCUAAUUUCUUAAAAGGAAUUCGGCAAAUUUUAGUUCCGCCUGUUUAUCAAAAACAUCGCUCCUCGACAAUUUACCUAAAUAUGGGGAGUCUGACCUGCCCAGUGACAUUCUGUUUAACGGCUGCAGGUCAUACUGCAUUAAAGUAGCAUAAUAAUUUGCCUCUUAAUUGGGGGCUAGAAUGAAUGGUCUGACGAGAGCUAAGCUGUCUCUUUUGAAAUAUUUAGAAAUUAACUUUUAGGUGAAGAGGCCUAAAUAUUGUUGAGGGACGAAAAGACCCUAUUGAGCUUGAGUGCCGAGCUAGAUUCCCAUUUACUAUUAGAUAACAUAAUCUUAUCACAUCUAGCUUAAAUCUUUAGCUGGGAUGGCUGAGGAGCAAUUAAAACCUCCUUCUAUACUAUAUACAAAUUUUAAUGUAAAGCUAGCAUGCUAAGAUCCAGUAAUACUGAUCAAUGGAAAAAGUUACCAUAGGGAUAACAGCGUAAUCCCUUCAAAGAGCCCUUAUCGAAGAAGGGGUUUGCGACCUCGAUGUUGGACUAAGGUAUCCUAAGGGUGCAGAAGCUCUUAACGGUUGGUCUGUUCGACCAUUAAAACCUUACAUGAUCUGAGUUCAAACCGGCGUGAGCCAGGUUGGUUUCUAUCUUCAAUAAUAAAAAUAAUUUUUCAACUAGUACGAAAGGACCGCUGUAAAAUAAAAAAUUUAUAAAAAUAGACAUCUAAUAAUUUAUUUCAAAUAUAAAAUAUAUUAU